UUAGAGUUUGAUCCUGGCUCAGAUUGAACGCUGGCGGCAUGCUUUACACAUGCUAGUCGAGCGGCAGCGCGGGGGCAACCCUGGCGGCGAGCGGCGGACGGGUGAGUAAUGCAUCGGAACGUAUCCCGUAGUGGGGGACAACCCAGCGAAAGCUGGGCUAAUACCGCAUAUGCUCUACGGAGGAAAGCAGGGGACCCGCAAGGGCCUUGUGCUAUGGGAGCGGCCGAUGUCCGAUUAGCUAGUUGGUGGGGUAAAGGCUUACCAAGGCGACGAUCGGUAGCUGGUCUGAGAGGAUGAUCAGCCACACUGGGACUGAGACACGGCCCAGACUCCUACGGGAGGCAGCAGUGGGGAAUUUUGGACAAUGGGGGCAACCCUGAUCCAGCCAUGCCGCGUGCGGGAAGAAGGCCUUCGGGUUGUAAACCGCUUUUGGUCGGGAAGAAAAGGUUCCUUCUAAUAAAGGGGACUGUUGACGGUACCGGCAGAA
rnacentral:rRNA from 1 species